CCCUUAGAUGUUCUGGGCCACACGCGCGUUACACUGAUGAAGCCAGCGAGUAUAUCGCCUUCACCGGAAGGUGCGGGUAAUCUUGUGAAACUUCAUCGUGCUGGGGAUAGACCAUUGCAAUUAUUGGUCUUGAACGAGGAAUUCCUAGUAAGCAUGAGUCAUCAACUCGUGCUGAUUACGUCCCUGCCCUUUGUACACAUCGCCCGUCGCUACUACCGAUUGAAUGGUUUAGUGAGAUCUCGGGAUUGGAGACGUUGCGCCGCAAGGCACAUCGUCCUCGAGAACUUGAUCAAACUUGAUCAUUUAGAGGAAGUAAAAGUCGUAACA
rnacentral:rRNA from 1 species